UCAGUCGUCAGCCCUAAGGCUGGGGUGUUC
rnacentral:piRNA from 1 species